GAUGAAGAACGUAGCGAAAUGCGAUAAGUAGUGUGAAUUGCAGAAUUCAGUGAAUCAUCGAAUCUUUGAACGCACAUUGCGCCAUCUAGUAGUCUGGGAGGCAUGCCUGUUUGAGCGUCAUUAAACCUCUCUCAAGUAUGAUUACUUGGAUGUGAAGGAAGAGUACCUUAAACUUAAGGAGUGUUCUCCUUUGAAAUUGAUUAGCAGAUGGUAAUGUUAUUAAAUCCCUGAUGUUGUAAGAAAUAACAGCGGUUUUGUAGACUAUUAUCUAGCUUUAAAUUAUAAUUUUUAUUAUGGUUGACCUCAAAUCAGGUAAGGAUACCCGCUGAACUUAAGCAUAUCAAUAAGCGGAGGA
rnacentral:misc_RNA from 1 species